UGAUUCCACUAACUCAUUUAGUGACAAAGAAAAUCAAUUUUCCUUAUGCUUUGAGGAAAUCUACACCGCAUAGCUUCCAUAAACUUGAUUUUGAGGUAUUCAACACGAUCCACUUCUGGCUUGAGUGUCUGCCGAAUCGUUGAAUAUGGAGACCUUGACUUUAGUUCUAUUCCAAAUGAAUUAAAAUGGGGGAAAAACUGACGAUAGCGUAUUCAAUUUGUUAUAAGUUGUGAAGAAUGUUCAAUUGCAGAGAAAGGAAAACGGAAAAUCUGAUAAAUAUUAUUCUUCUUUCAAAUGAUUUGAAAUUGGGUCUAUCUAGCAUAUAUACUAGUAUCUGGGAAUCUUAGUCUGAACAAAGUUGCGAGAAAUAUUGUAGAACUCCCGGAAAGGGGAUCUAACGAAAGACUCGAAUGAGUCGAAUAUUGUGAAUUCCAGAGUUCAAGUCCAUGGAAACAUGAACCUCGUGCUUGUUGCUGAAAUAUUCGCCCUACAGAAAAAUUGGAAAAGUUUUCACAAGCUUCAAUAAAGUAGAUAGCAGAGACAAGUUCUCUAUGGUCACAAAGGAAGAUAAUAGUACAAAUUUAGAUAAUGAGAAUAGACAUGAAGUACUGCACGCUAUCAUUAUUAUUUGCCCAAGGAUUCUACGUGUCUACUCUCAUUGAGUUUCAUUGGUAUUCCAACAAUUCAUUAUUUAGCGAAAUUCGCCGGCUGGGCUAGGAAAAUAUGGUUCGAACUAUGUAUUUGUUAUUUAUUCACUUCAGUAUCCUAGAUUACGUAAAGGACACGUUCAGUAUGACCUCAAAAAAUCGACAUGAUAUUGCAUCGAGCAUCAAUCAAGCGGGCGUGUUAACGAUAAACGAAUUUUCCAAUACUUUGGCCAUUUCGAUGAAAUGUCGCACUUAAUUUUCUGAUAAGCGUUAAAUCCAGUUCACUUAUAUUAGUUAAUGAGUUCGAAAACAAAUACUUGCAGACAUAAAAAGAAUCAUUAAAAUUUCAUAUAGCAUACUUAUAUUGAAAAGUGAUAUAACAAUUAGAAGUAGGUGAAAGCAGUGUGCAGAUUAUGUUCAUUAGAAAAAAAUGUUACUCGCUUCGAUACAAAUUUCGAUUGUUCCUUAUAUGAUUAGUGAAAGGUAGACUUGCUGUUUAAUAAUUAGUGAAAAUAUUACUAGAAAACUAAAUUGAAAUUCAGGAUCAGGGAAUAAACAUUAUUAUCCUU